rnacentral:rRNA from 1 species
ACGAACGCUGGCGGCGUGCUUCACACAUGCAAGUCGAACGGAAAGGCCCUGCUUUUGUGGGGUGCUCGAGUGGCGAACGGGUGAGUAACACGUGAGUAACCUGCCCUUGACUUUGGGAUAACUUCAGGAAACUGGGGCUAAUACCGGAUAGGAGCUCCUGCUGCAUGGUGGGGGUUGGAAAGUUUCGGCGGUUGGGGAUGGACUCGCGGCUUAUCAGCUUGUUGGUGGGGUAGUGGCUUACAAAGGCUUUGACGGGUAGCCGGCCUGAGAGGGUGACCGGCCACAUUGGGACUGAGAUACGGCCCAGACUCCUACGGGAGGCAGCAGUGGGGAAUAUUGCACAAUGGGCGGAAGCCUGAUGCAGCAACGCCGCGUGCGGGAUGACGGCCUUCGGGUUGUAAACCGCUUUCGCCUGUGACGAAGCGUGAGUGACGGUAAUGGGUAAAGAAGCACCGGCUAACUACGUG